rnacentral:lncRNA from 1 species
UUUUUUUUUGGAAAUUUCAAAAGACUGACGCUAGCCGUGAGAUUCACUUUAUGAGAUCAUCCUGAUCCGAGAGCGCUGAACCAACUGAUUUUUUUUCCAAAGCUUGAUGUACUGGUAGAAUUUUUCAUAGUUUUCAGACAACAUUUAAAUUUUAUGUAAAUGCAAAACACUAUUUACAUAAAGUUAAGUUUAUGUAUUUUCCUAAAAUAUGUGUCUUAAGCUUAGCACAACUUUGUACUAACACUUAUUUUGGGACGGAGGGAGUAGCAAAUAAUGAAACCUACAAAGUUCAAACCAUUUUCCAUACAUUACCUGUCGUGGAAUUGUCACGGCAGAUGUCCUUAGUGUCAGGACUAGUCGCGAGGCCAGCGCAUCUAUGUGGUAGCUUGAGAGGGGUUGGGCGGAAUCGAGAGACGCAACACAAGACAAGGAUUUAGACAGCUUCGGGCCCCGGGAAACAUCAUCCGGUAAUAACUCUACAUGCUGUUUGAGGCUAGAUCUCAUUAGGCUCAUGAGAGAGUCGCCGGUAAGCCGGUUCUUUGUGUUUAGCCCUAGAGAUUGUUUCUUGUUGCUUGUCCCUUCUUUGGGGAGCCCUACCCCUCCUUAUAUAACUUGAAGGGGCGGCUUACAUGUAGAGUCCUAGUAGGAUUAGAACUAACUUAUUCUCUAUUACAAGUCGGAUACAAGUACGGGUCUUACUUCCCUGUAAAGGAAACAUUCCUCAUGCCUUCCGUCUUAAGCCGGCCCACAAUAACAUGAGCCGGCCUUCUGGGCCUUGGGCCUAGUCUUCUGUCUGACCCGCCGUCGGGGCCAUCAUUAAGUCGCCAGGCUCAUGAGUUGCCAAUCUUCCGGCGGGUUACGAUGAAGCGUCAAGUCCGGCCGGGUCAUACUCCUGGCCGGGUCAUACCGCGGGGUAUAUCCCCGACAUUAGCCCCCAGUUUAAUUUGGAUUUAUCCAUGUUAAACUGAUCCUGUAAAAUAAACACAAGAACAAACUUGAUAGGUUGUGCUCCGGGUUAAAUAUUUUCCUGAACCGGCACCUGAUCAUCUUUAAGUCCUUGUCAUUUCCUCCUGGAUGCAUACUCAAGAUUUUAUAGCAAAUCUCUUUUAACAGAUAUGUCCAAACCUUGCCAAUGCAAAAAAUCCAGGCACUUCUUCUAAAAAAUCCGAGUCAAUAGGCCAGCUUCAUAACCAAUUUGCUGACAUUGGCUCUUGUAGAGAAAUAUUAUAAGAAAUAAUCCAUUUGAGUCGGCCUUCAAUGCUCUGACUUGACAAAAAUAUUGGUCUUGAAAUAUUCAACUGAUAUCCAGCCGGCUUGAAGAUGUAAAACUUGUCGGUUUAUGAUUAUCACCAUUGUCGGGUUAUAAAAGCUGAUAAUUCCGGGUCAUGAUUGUUGCCAACGCCGGUUCAUGAUUAUUGAUGACGCCGGGUUGUAGACACAGGGUCAUAAUGAUUGGUGACGCCGGGUCAAUCUGGUUUGCUCAAAACAGAGAAUUUGAAAAUAUUUCUUCGAUAAUAAUAUAAUACCUGCAGCCCCCAAGUUUUGAGUAGAACAAAGCGAUGGCUUAAGACUUGCUUCAAUAUAAAUGUUGCCAGUUUGAAGCAAUCCAUAUUGUUCAUCUCAGUCACUAGUAAAAACUGAAUACUUCAUAUUAUGUAGCCCCCAAGUGCCGGGUUGUCAUGCUUGCAGCAACCUGGGACUUGUAAUUGCCUUAUCCUCAUAUAAACUUCAACCGGCGUAGCCCCCAAGGGUCGGCUCAUUAUAUAAUAAUGAGCAAGGACUUUGUAAAUAUAAUCAUGUAAACUUGCCCAGCAAUGUGUAGCCCCCAAGGGCCGGGUCAGUAAGAUAUUACCGAGCUGGGACUUUGUAUAUGAUUCAUUGAUAAUAACAGCAUAUGAUGUAAUCUCCACCAUGGGGCUUGAACCCACGUCCACAAGGUUAAGAGCUUUGUACUCUACCAACUGAAUAGUGGAUCUUUCAAUAUAAUAGAUUAAGGCUUGUGUACCUUGAAUUUUUGACAGGAGUAAUUGGUAACCCCCAAGGGCAGGCUCAUUACAAUGUGAUGAGUCGGGUCUUCAAUAAGUUGAGCAAAAAAUGUCUUUACAUUAGCCCCCAAGUGCCAUGGUGCAUGCUGGCAGUGACAUGGGACUUGCAUAUUUGAUGUAAUAUCAAUUUGAAUAAUGUAGCCCCCAAGUGCCGAGUCGUAAGCCUGCAGCGACUCGGGACUAUUCAUUCCAUUAUAGAAUAAGUCAUAUCCAUUGGUAAAAUAAUAGCCAUUGCGCCAAAGCGACUUUGAAUACCUCAUCUGUUGAUAAGUAAACCCGGAGUUUAAAUACCCGGCGGCUUUUGGCCGAUGGCAAUUUAAUACGCCUCCAUUGUAAGCCGGAAUUUUUAUAACCCGGCGGCUUAUAGCCUUUGAGAAAAUCAAGAAUUGAUAACCCUUUUGAGACAUCAAUUUCAAUCUUUAAUGAUGGGCUUGAACUUAAUCAUUUAUGUAAGUCAUAGCUCUGUAAAUCCUGCACAGAGUUUAAACAACAUAUGCCCUGGCGACUUAACGUCAGAAGCCAGGGCGGGUAACCACCCAAAUGUAAUCUUAUCCUGCACACAAGUAGAUCACAAGAUCCCUUGGCGGUUUACCGCAGGGCGGGUCACAAUAUCUCACAUAUAACCACUGUGAUAUUGAAUUUGUACUGCCGGUUUACAUGACAUGUGCAGUAAGGGUGAUAACCCAAUCUUUAGAAGCCAACGCUUCCAAAUAGAUGAUGAUUGUCAUAAGCUGGCGAUUUAUCAUUGAAAAUCAAGCCGGGUUAAAUAGAAACCACUCAUAUACACUUUAGAUAUGAUCAAAAGAACUUCAAAUAAAAUCCAAAAAAUUGUUUGCAAAAAGAGACUUCAAAAAUUUUGAGGCUUCUGAUUCGAAUACGAUCAGAAAACCGUCCCAAAGGGGUUAAGCUAAGAUACGAAUACGAUCAUAUAGCCCCCAGUGGCUUUGGCGUUGCCGAUCAAGAGGGUACUGACAGCUAUGUCCUCUUUGGUUCGAAUACGACCUAUGUUUGAACAGGAAGCCCCCAAAUGACCUUGAGAGUUGUUUAACGACGCUGAUUCGAAUACGAUCCAUGUCGGUUCCCAAAAGGGGUUGAGCUAUGAUUCGAAUACGAUCAAGAAGACCCCUAGUGAGCUCGGCAGUGUGCCGAUCAAGAGGGUACCGACAGCUAUGUUCUCUUUGGUUCGAAUACGACCUAUGUUUGAACAGGAAGCCCCCAAGUGACCAUAUAAGUUUUGGCAUUGCGCCGAUCGAGAGGGUACCGACAGCUAUGCUCGAUGAGCAGGAAGCCCCCAAGUGACCAUAAUAAGAUAAGCCGUAAGGCAGGAUACCCAUGUUUGAACCGCGCAUCAUGGCAGCAAGCUCUUUUUGGCACCCUUUAAUCUUUCUGAGAACUCGAACUUACGAGAGAUUAAUUCUUUUUGAACCGGAACUUUAAACUGGAUUUGAGAGCUUAAAAGCUUUGUAAGAGACAAAUUUACCUUGAGCUGGAUGUUUGAACCGGAUUUGAGAGCUUUAAAGCUUUGCAGGAGAGAGAUGUCUCUUGAAUCGGAUUUUAAACCGGAAUCUUUAUUUUGAACCGACAAUUUUCUGACGGCCUUUAAAUUUUCAUCAAUAUGGCGGUGUCCUCCGGAACCGGGUUAUCAUUCCCUCCAAUGACCCGGAGUUCCCGAGUCAUGUCAUUGUAGCCCCCGAGUCUUAAGACGACUCGAGGAGUUGUCUUGAGAUUCUCCAUAUUUGACCGUGAUAUAAACCGGCAUGAGUCAUUCAACGUCUCAGUGAUAUAACUUGUCCUGCACUGGAGAACUUGCAAGCCAGAGUAAUUGCUCUUUUAAAGAAAGCAAUAUAUAAUAUAAAAUAUACUGGAUGAAUUUCACCUGAUGCGUCAGGUCAGUAAUUAUCACCGCGGAGUUGAUGAUCACCAUGGUGAAGCUGAAAUCAAUCACGGCCGAGUCGGCCGCGGGAGCAGACAGAUGAGCCGGCCACGGCGUUGUAAGCCGGCGUAGGAGAGUCGGCACAGUAAACCGCGCGGACGGGCGAAGUUGAUUGCAGGCGCGGUAAACCGCAUGGUCAAGCGAGUCGGUCGCGUCGUGUUGAUGUAGACCGGACCGCAGGGGCAGUGGUUUGCACACGUCCGCUGAGCAAUUUUACAUAGCUUUGAUGUAGACGCGAUCUCUAGUGACAACGCGCGAGGACCGGGUCACACUUUGGCCAUGAGUUAAUUGACCUGUGUACACAAUAGCAUACCGUGAAAAAAGCUUUGGAUGAUACUUAAUUAUACCAAGUAAAAGCUUAGAGAAAUAGCACCUGAUAUUUCUAUCUGAUGAUCGCAGACUGAUGAUGGAAUAGUUGCAGGAGUUAUGAUCGAUGGGACUUGUGCCCUGGUUUGCACAGGACGGCUCUCUGCGGCGAGGCGGAGUCAAGGCGACUCAACGGCGACGGUCGAGAGGGCGGCAGCCAACACGAGGACGGGCCCGAGGCCGCGGCGGCUUGCGGCAGGGAAGGAAAACAAGGCCGGUUGUGGAAUGAUCCGGCAGGACACAGAGAGCUGGCGCAUGGCCGGAGCUAGUAGGGUCGCUGAAGCAGAAACGACGCGGUGACGGCCGGCCGAGCAGGGCGCUGCGAUUCAAGGCCGAAGGCGGUAGCUUGAGGUAACGCACGCGCGGUGGAGGAGAGCUGAGCGCGGCUAGGCGUGCGGCAAUGGAGGCCAGGGCAGCUUGGGAUCUGCUCCGGAGCGGGGUGUGGCGAGCCGGCGUUGGGCCCGGCGACCUAGCAAAGUCAAAACGGGUUUCGACGCUCAGGCUGCUCGGCGGCCACCGAGGAGGAGAGACGGCGAUCCGGUGGAUGCUGGGUGACUCAGGCGCGGACAGUGGUAUCCGGGUCGUGGUCAGUUGGUUGACCCAUAUCCUAUUCCUUCUCUGUAGCCUUCUUUCCUCAUCUUCUUCCCCCCCCUUUUUUUUAAACUAUUGGCGCAGUCCGACUUGAUCCUAGUAUCUUUCCGUGCUAUACACGGCCACCGUGUAGUACUCUUGCCUUGGAUUGAUUGGACUUAUCCCUUGUUGGACCAUCAACUAUAAUUUUUCUACAAGCACGGAGACCUUGGCUGACUUCACGUGCAGCGCUGCAGCUGAUAUGUGUACGUAUGCACAUCCUACUUCAGGCACUAAUCAUCAUAACAAUAAAAGCAGACCCGACGUAACUGUACGUCCAAUUGAUUUCUUUACCGAUCUGCAACUUCACGAGAAGUGGUGAUACUCGCAAGUGGUAUUACAAACGAAUUGGGUACAGCACGCUUCCAGGAUUGAAUUCAUUGCUAGUUUUGUCAGAAUAUGAGCGGUCUUCAGACUUGCUUCGAUUAAAACCGCGCCGCAGAGAUAGAAACUUUGCUAAUCUUGUACCGCUUCUGUAACGGCUGCAGCGGAAAACCCAAUCGGCGUCGACGGCUUGCGGCGGCUCAACCGACAAUUAAUGCAACCCUAAUCCUCUCGAUCUUGCUUCUCCGAUCAAUUGACCCGGAUUGGUUGCUAUGGUUUUUUCGUCAAGCUGCCUGGGCUCCGGGUCAAAACAGCAGCUUGACUUAUAGUAAGAACACCAGCUCCCUCGGAGUUUCAGAAUCCUUCGGCUUCAAGCGCCUCAAAAUCCACUGAACAAAUCACAGGAUGGCGGCAGCUUAACCGGCCGUAACCCUAAUUUUUCCUUGAACUUCAAACCUCAUAGACUGAAAAUCCGAACUGAUGAACCCAAGGUUGAUGCAAAUCUUCCCAAGCGGCUUUUCUUUAUCUGGAAUUUACAAACCUUUCGAUCCCUGUGAAAGAUCCCUCCAAGAACUCAACACCACCGUGCGCGAGCCCCACGGUGGGCGCCAACUGUCGUGGAAUUGUCACGACAGAUGUCCUUAGUGUCAGGACUUAGUCGCGAGGCCAGCGCAUCUAUGUGGUAGCUUGAGAGGGGUUGGGCGGAAUCGAGAGACGCAACACAAGACAAGGAUUUAGACAGCUUCGGGCCCCGGAAAACAUCAUCCGGUAAUAACCCUACAUGCUGUUUGAGGCUAGAUCUCAUUAUGCUCAUGAGAGAGUCGCCGAUAAGACGGCUCUUUGUGUUUAGCCCUAGAGAUUGUUUCUUGUUGCUUGUCCCUUCUUUGGGGAGCCCUGCCCCUCCUUAUAUAACUUGAAGGGGCGGCUUACAUGUAGAGUCCUAGUAGGAUUAGAACUAACUUAUUCUCUAUUACAAGUCGGAUACAAGUACGGGUCUUGCUUCCCUGUAAAGGAAAUAUUCCUCAUGCCUUCCGUCUUAAGCCGGCCCACAAUAACAUGAGCCGGCCUUCCGGGCCUUGGGCCUAGUCUUCUGUCUGACCCGCCGUCGGGGCCAUCAUUAAGUCGCCAGGCUCAUGAGUUGCCAAUCUUCCGGCGGGUUACGAUGAAGCGUCAAGUCCGGCCGGGUCAUACUCCCGGCCGGGUCAUACCGCGGGGUAUAUCCCCGACAAUACCAUAAAAACAUAG